GUUUCUGUAGUGUAGUGGUUAUCACGUUUGCCUAACACGAAAAAAGGUCCCUGGUUCGAGACCGGGGAGAAACA
rnacentral:tRNA from 1 species